AAGACCUUGCGCUUUUGGAGCGGCCGAUGCCUGAUUAGCUUGUUGGUAAGGUAAAAGCUUACCAAGGCUUCGAUCAGUAGCUGGUCUGAGAGGACGACCAGCCACACUGGGACUGAGACACGGCCCAGACUCCUACGGGAGGCAGCAGUGGGGAAUUUUGGACAAUGGGGGCAACCCUGAUCCAGCCAUGCCGCGUGAGUGAAGAAGGCCUUCGGGUUGUAAAGCUCUUUCAGCUGGAACGAAACGGUUACGGAUAACACCCGUGACUACUGACGGUACCGGAAGAAGAAGCACCGGCUAACUACGUGCCAGCAGCCGCGGUAAUACGUAGGGUGCGAGCGUUAAUCGGAAUUACUGGGCGUAAAGCGUGCGCAGGUGGUUUUGUAAGUCAGAUGUGAAAGCCCCGGGCUCAACCUGGGAACU
rnacentral:rRNA from 1 species